rnacentral:rRNA from 1 species
GGAAUAUUGGACAAUGGGGGCAACCCUGAUCCAGCCGUGCCGCGUGAGUGAAGAAGGCCUUCGGGUUGUAAAGCUCUUUCAGUCGGGAAGAAACGGCGCGCUCUAACAUAGCGUGUUAAUGACGGUACCGCAAGAAGAAGCACCGGCUAACUACGUGCCCGCAGCCGCGGUAAUACGUAGGGUGCGAGCGUUAAUCGGAAUUACUGGGCGUAAAGCGUGCGCAGGCGGUUGUGUAAGACAGGUGUGAAAUCCCCGGGCUUAACCUGGGAGCUGCGCUUGUGACUGCACGGCUAGAGUACGGCAGAGGGGGGUGGAAUUCCACGUGUAGCAGUGAAAUGCGUAGAGAUGUGGAGGAACACCGAUGGCGAAGGCAGCCCCCUGGGCCGAUACUGACGCUCAUGCACGAAAGCGUGGGGAGCAAAC